UCCCUGGUAGUCCAGUGGUUAGGACUACAUUCUUCCACUGCGGUGGGCCUGGGUUUGAUCCCUGGUCAGGGAA
rnacentral:tRNA from 1 species